UUCAUGGAGAGUUUGAUCCUGGCUCAGGACGAACGCUGGCGGCGUGCCUAAUACAUGCAAGUCGAGCGGACAGAUGGGAGCUUGCUCCCUGAUGUUAGCGGCGGACGGGUGAGUAACACGUGGGUAACCUGCCUGUAAGACUGGGAUAACUCCGGGAAACCGGGGCUAAUACCGGAUGCUUGAUUGAACCGCAUGGCUCAAUUAUAAAAGGUGGCUUUUAGCU
rnacentral:rRNA from 1 species